UCCGUCUUCAGGUUAUUACAACUUUGUAAAUGUCAAAGAAUGGAAACAUUUACAAAGUUGUAAUAACCUGAAGACGGAC